rnacentral:rRNA from 1 species
UACGUAGGUGGCAAGCGUUAUCCGGAAUUAUUGGGCGUAAAGCGCGCGCAGGCGGUCCUUUAAGUCUGAUGUGAAAGCCCACGGCUCAACCGUGGAGGGUCAUUGGAAACUGGGGGACUUGAGUGCAGAAGAGGAGAGCGGAAUUCCACGUGUAGCGGUGAAAUGCGUAGAGAUGUGGAGGAACACCAGUGGCGAAGGCGGGUCUCUGGACAGUUCCUGACACUGAGGAGCGAAAGCGUGGGGAGCGAACAGG